UACGUAGGGGGCUAGCGUUGUCCGGAAUCAUUGGGCGUAAAGCGCGUGUAGGCGGCCCGGUAAGUCCGCUGUGAAAGUCCAGGGCUCAACCCUGGGAUGCCGGUGGAUACUGUCGGGCUCGAGUCCGGAAGAGGCGAGUGGAAUUCCUGGUGUAGCGGUGAAAUGCGCAGAUAUCAGGAGGAACACCAAUGGCGAAGGCAGCUCGCUAGGACGUGACUGACGCUGAGACGCGAAAGCGUGGGGAGCAAACAGG
rnacentral:rRNA from 1 species